UACGUAGGGUGCGAGCGUUGUCCGGAUUUAUUGGGCGUAAAGAGCUCGUAGGUGGCCUGUCGCGUCGGCUGUGAAAACUCGGGGCUCAACUCCGAGCUUGCAGUCGAUACGGGCAGGCUAGAGUUCGGCAGGGGAGACUGGAAUUCCUGGUGUAGCGGUGAAAUGCGCAGAUAUCAGGAGGAACACCGGUGGCGAAGGCGGGUCUCUGGGCCGAUACUGACACUGAGGAGCGAAAGCGUGGGGAGCGAACAGG
rnacentral:rRNA from 1 species